rnacentral:rRNA from 1 species
CGAGUGGCGAACGGGUGAGUAACACGUGGAGACCUGCCCUUGGGUACGGGAUAACAGUUAGAAAUGACUGCUAAUACCGUAUACGUCCUAUGGGAGAAAGAUUUAUUGCCCUUGGAGGGGUCCGCGUCGGAUUAGCUAGUUGGUAAGGUAACGGCUUACCAAGGCGACGAUCCGUAGCUGUUCUUAGAGGAAGAUCAGCCACACUGGGACUGAGACACGGCCCAGACUCC